UUCACAGUGUAUUUUCUAUAUUAGCAGGUCAGGGUCUCAGAUUCACAGUGUAUUUUCUAUAUUAGCAGGUCAGGGUCUCAGAUUCACAGUGUAUUUUCUAUAUUAGCAGGUCAGGGUCUCAGAUUCACAGUGUAUUUUCUAUAUUAGCAGGUCAGGGUCUCAGAUUCACAGUGUAUUUUCUAUAUUAGCAGGUCAGGGUCUCAGAUUCACAGUGUAUUUUCUAUAUUAGCAGGUCAGGGUCUCAGAUUCACAGUGUAUUUUCUAUAUUAGCAGGUCAGGGUCUCAGAUUCACAGUGUAUUUUCUAUAUUAGCAGGUCAGGGUCUCAGAUUCACAGUGUAUUUUCUAUAUUAGCAGGUCAGGGUCUCAGAUUCAC